AUGAAACGAUAACAGUACAAAUAAAUUUAAUAGACUUAAAACUAAGACUAUUUCUUGCAAAUAGCGAAAGAAAAAUAAAGUACUAUAUAAACAAACAAUAUUAAAGCAAAUAUAUUCAGAAUAAACUUGAUGGCUUUAUUGACACAAUGAAACAUGCGGUGUAAAGGAUGGUUGUGACUGUAGGUGGUGGAGUGAGUAGAGAUAUAAAAUGAUGCAUGAUGUAUUGAGGGGUAGGCAGGAACACGGAAAUUAAUAGAGGAAAAGUGAUCUGGGGCAUUAAUUGAACCAUCAAGUUGACCUUGAAAAAAAUGGAAAUCAGCAUCAAUUUGUGAGGAAAAAAGGGUGAAAAUGUCUAGCUUUGAAAGUACGAAUGAGUAGCCAUGUUAUUAAUGCAUAAUUUUGUGUAGGAAAAAAAUGUAUGAAAGAAAAUUUUAAAAUAUGAUAGUAUCUAUUUAAAAAGAAUUUAAAAAAUAAGCAUUUAUAUAUUUUUGUAUGUUUUUAGUAUUAGUAUUAUUAAUUUUGUUCUAUUAUUAGGUUACAAAAUUACAAAAAGACUCAGAGAAUUAUUAUUUAAAUCUCUUGUAUCUCAAGAAACUGCAUAUUUUGAUCGU